rnacentral:lncRNA from 1 species
ACAUUUAGACCUUGUCCAGAAGGGGCGAAUUCGUGCGAAUUCAUACGCGCGUUGUCGAAGUACUAGACAUCAAUACAUAGCGCCCACAAGCAACGCGCGAAUUCGCGACGCGAGUCUGGGACAUCUGCUGAAUUCCUCUUGCUCGCUCGCGCGUUGGUACGCGCCUUGUGGACGUAACGGUCGUGCGCAAUACGCGCGAGAGAAUCGCGCCGAAUUCGCCCCUUCAAGGUUUUAUUAUUAAAAAUUCAACUUGGCAAUUUAAAUCACAAGUAAAAUAAUUUGCCUUAAGAACCGGUAGUAGAAAAACUUCAAAGUGUUUAUAAUUGCAUCUGCUUUAAAUAAAUGUAAAUGAAGUUCUUAUAAACUACAUUUAAAUUGAAUUUCCCGCGCAUUAAUCAACGUCAAAGUAUUAUCUGUGGUGGCAGCACUUUUUUAUUCUAUGUUUAGUUUAUAAUUCAUCUGUCAGAAAAUUCUCGAAGUUAUUUUGUACAAGUGAAGCGUUAACGAUUUUAUUGGAAAUAAUUCUAUUGUAAAAGAAUAUUUGAAGCAAUAGCUUUUAAUGUUGUUUCUCUUUACAGAGCAACAACUUUACUUUUGUUUCAAUAAGCAGCAAUCAGCAUAUUACAAAACAACAAGAUUUCCGUGAUUUAAAUAAAAUAGUGGUUCCUCAGUCGCAACCAUUUCCACUUAUAGAAGAUUUAAUGAUAAAAACAAGAAAUUGUAAAUUUUUUUCAACGUUGGACAUAAAUUCUGCUUUCUGGUCUAUACCUUUAAAAGUGGAAGACAGAAAAAAAACAGCUUUUGUUACUCAAGAAAAUCAUUUUCAGUGGACUUGUCUUCCAUUUGGUUUAAAGACAUCACCUGCAAUAUUUCAAAGAAUACUAAGUAGCAUAAUUAGAAAACACAAAUUAUCCAAUUUUACAGUAAAUUUCAUCGAUGAUAUUUUAGUUUUUUCCCAGACAUUACGGAGCACAUUAAACACUUAUCUUUGCUAUUGGAAGCUAUUUCAAAAGAAGGUUUUAGAUUGAAAUUUUCUAAAUGUAAAUUUGCACAAGACUCUGUAAAAUACUUAGGUCACAUCAUAAAAAAUAAUACAGUUACUCCACUAAAGGAUAAUUUAAUAGCCAUAAAAGAUUUUCCUGUUCCAAAAACAAAGAAAAAUGUCAGACAGUUUUUAGGCAAAAUAAACUUCUAUGGAAAAUAUAUACAAAACAUAUCAAUCAUAUUAGAUCCUCUACACAAUCUUUUAAGAAAAGACCAAAAAUUUAUUUGGACAGUAGAGUGUCAAAAAUCUUUUGAUAAAAUAAAAAAACUACUUUGUUUAAAACCUAUCUUAGAAAUAUUUGAUCCAGAUCUUCCUAUUCAUAUAUAUACAGACGCUAGUAUACAGGGUUUAGGGGCUAUUUUAAAACAACCACAGGAAGACGGAGAAGAAAGGCCAUGUGCAUAUUUUUCGAGAAAAUUAAAUGACAGUCAAAAAAGAAAAAAAGCUAUUUAUUUAGAAUGUUUAGCGAUAAAAGAGGCGGUAAAAUACUGGCAACAUUGGCUAAUAGGAAAAAAAUUUAAAGUAUUUUCAGACCAUAAACCCCUAGAAAAACUGAAUAUUAAGGCUAAAACAGAUGAGGAACUAGGAGACCUCACAUACUAUUUAUCUCAAUUUAAUUUUGAGGUAAUUUAUUCACCCGGAAAGGACAAUUUAGAAGCAGACA